AACGAACGCUGGCGGCAGGCCUAACACAUGCAAGUCGAGCGAGGACUUCGGUUCUAGCGGCGGACGGGUGAGUAACGCGUGGGAAUGUGCCCUUCUCUACGGAAUAGCCCUGGGAAACUGGGAGUAAUACCGUAUACGCCCUAUUGGGGAAAGAUUUAUCGGAGAGGGAUCAGCCCGCGUUGGAUUAGGUAGUUGGUGGGGUAAUGGCCUACCAAGCCGACGAUCCAUAGCUGGUUUGAGAGGAUGAUCAGCCACACUGGGACUGAGACACGGCCCAGACUCCUACGGGAGGCAGCAGUGGGGAAUCUUAGACAAUGGGGGCAACCCUGAUCUAGCCAUGCCGCGUGAGUGAUGAAGGCCUUAGGGUUGUAAAGCUCUUUCAGCUGGGAAGAUAAUGACGGUACCAGCAGAAGAAGCCCCGGCUAACUCCGUG
rnacentral:rRNA from 1 species